rnacentral:rRNA from 1 species
GACGAACGCUGGCGGCGUGCUUAACACAUGCAAGUCGAACGCUGAAGCUCAGCUUUUGUUGGGUGGAUGAGUGGCGAACGGGUGAGUAACACGUGAGUAACCUGCCCCCUUCUUUGGGAUAACGCCCGGAAACGGGUGCUAAUACUGGAUAUUCACUGGUCUUCGCAUGGGGGUUGAUGGAAAGGGUUUUUCUGGUGGGGGAUGGGCUCGCGGCCUAUCAGCUUGUUGGUGGGGUGAUGGCCUACCAAGGCUUUGACGGGUAGCCGGCCUGAGAGGGUGACCGGUCACAUUGGGACUGAGAUACGGCCCAGACUCCUACGGGAGGCAGCAGUGGGGAAUAUUGCACAAUGGGCGAAAGCCUGAUGCAGCGACGCCGCGUGAGGGAUGGAGGCCUUCGGGUUGUGAACCUCUUUCGCUCAUGGUCAAGCCGCAACAAUGGUUAUGGUGAGGGUAGUGGGUAAAGAAGCGCCGGCUAACUACGUG